rnacentral:rRNA from 1 species
CCUGGUUGAUUCUGCCAGCAGUCAUAUGCUUGUUUCAAGGAUUAAGCCAUGCAAGUGUAAGAGCAAGUCAUCGAGCUCGCUCAUACGGUGGGUCUGCGAACGGCUCAGCUUGCCGUCAUGAUCUACACGGUGGAAGGGCGGUCACCGCUCCAAACGGAUAACCACACGAAACGUGUGGCUAAUACGUGGACGAAAGCGCCAGCAGCGCUAAAUCGUUGAGGGGAAACCUGAUUCGAUGCAGUUGGCGUGCCGAUGGCUGAGACAAGAACCAACGCCCGCGAGGGCAGUGAUGUAUUGAUGAAGCAAGCCAUCGAGCUAAAGCGGCACCCUGUGCUGCGUGACCGUACGAAUCUCGGCCCUAUCAGCUUUGAUGGUAGCGUAUUGGGCUACCAUGGCAACAACGGGAACGAGGAAUCAGGGUUCGAUUCCGGAGAGGGAGCCUGAGAAACGGCUACCAAGGGUACGCCCUGCAGCAGGCGCGCAAAUUGCCCAAUCGUCAUUGACGGAGGCAGCGAAGAGAAAUAUCAAUCCCUUCAUUUGUGAAGGGUGUUGAAGUGGGCUGUAUCUAAACCCACAGCGUUCCAGAUUGGAGGACAAGCCCGGUGCCAGCACCCGCGGUAAUUCCGGCUCCAAGAGCGUAUAUUGACGCUGUUGCUGUUAAAGGGUUCGUAGUUGGGGCAAGAGACUUUGGGUGGCAGGAGCUCCUCCGGGAGCACACUCCUGCUUUGUCCCAUGCUCGCUUCAGACGGAACAGACCCCCUGUGGAAGUUCCUUCGGGGACAGAUGCAACUCCGCACGGAUCGUGCACGGGGCGUCCGUCGCAUCACUGUGAACAAAACAGCGUGUCCAAAGCAGCCUUUUACGGCUGAAUGCAAAAGCAUGGAAUGACAAGGGAUCGACCAUUGGUGCUAUCCCCUUGUUGGUUUUUGCGGCCCAAAAGGGGAGAUGGGUCUCCGUGUCUCCGGUACGGAUAAGGCGGCGCUCUAUGGGCAAUGCUGGACUGUGCCGAGGCCGGAUCCCUAUUGGGAUCAACAGGGGCUGUCGGGGGAAGACGUAUUGGAAUGCGAGAGGUGAAAUUCCGUGACCAUUCCAAGACGAACCGAUGCGAAGGCUUCUUCCAAGUAUGCCUUCAUUAAUCAAGAACCAAAGCGUGGAGAUCGAAGAUGAUUAGAUACCAUCGUAGUCCACGCUGUGAACGCUGGCGCCCAUGGGCUGGGUGGUCUCUCGCGAACUCCCCAGAACGAUCUUUUGCUACGAGAAAUCUCUGAGGUUAUGGCCUCAUGGGGGAGUACGUUCGCAAGGCUGAAACUUAAAGAAAUUGACGGAAUGGCACCACCAGGCGUGGAGCGUGCGGUUUAAUUUGACUCAACACGGGGAACCUUACCAGGUCAGGACCCCGUCAGGAUUGACAGAUCGACAGCUCUUUCUUGAUUCGGAUGAUGGUGGUGCAUGGCCGCUCUUCGUUGGUGGAGUGAUUUGUUUGGUUGAUUCCGUGAACGAACGAGAUCUCAGCCUCUAAAUAGGGGGCGGGUCGCUUACAGAUGGUGCCGCAGGUCUUCGGUCUUUGCGCCCAUCUUGACGCCGCUUGCCUUCUUAGAGGAACAUCGUGUGUCAUUUAACACGAUGGAGCGAGCCAAUAGCAGGUCUGUGAUGCCCCUAAAUGUUCUGGGCUACACGCGCACUACACUGACAGAGUGAGCGAGUUUGCUCUCGCUUUGCGAGCCUGCUCCGAGAGGAGUGGGAAACCUUGAAAACUCUGUCGUGAUGGGGAUCGCAGAUUGCAAUUAUUCCUCUUGAACGAGGAAUGCCUAGUAGGCGCGUUUCAUCAGAGCGCACUGAUUACGUCCCUGCCAUUUGUACACACCGCCCGUCGUUGCUACCGAUUGGGCGAAAGAUAGAGGUUGAUGGACGAGUCUCGCUUCGGCGAGGAACGGAAGUUCACCAAUAUCUUCCGCCUAGAGGAAGCAAAAGUCGUAACAAGGUUACGGUAGGUGAACCUGCCGUAG